AUUGAACGCUGGCGGCAGGCCUAACACAUGCAAGUCGAACGGUAACAGGAAGACGCUUGCUUCUUGGCUGACGAGUGGCGGACGGGUGAGUAAUGUCUGGGAAACUGCCUGAUGGAGGGGGAUAACUACUGGAAACGGUAGCUAAUACCGCAUAACGUCGCAAGACCAAAGAGGGGGAGCUGCGGGCCGCUUGCCAUCGGAUGUGCCCAGAUGGGAUUAGCUAGUAGGUGGGGUAACGGCUCAACUAGGCGGCGAUCCCUAGCUGGUCUGAGAGGAUGACCAGCCACACUGGAACUGAGACACGGUCCAGACUCCUACGGUAGGCAGCAGUGCGGAAUAUUGCGCAAUGGGCGCAAGCCUGAUGCAGCCAUGCCGCGUGUAUGCAGAAGGCCUUCGGGUUGUAAAGUACUUACAGCGGGGAGGAAGGGAGUAAAGUUAAUACCUUUGCUCAUUGACGUUACCCGCAGAAGAAGCACCGGCUAACUCCGUG
rnacentral:rRNA from 1 species